UUACAAACUUCCGUGUUGGAAAGAAGGGUUCUCUUCUCCCAACUCCGUGUUUUCCUGGGCUAAAGAAACUUCAAGCAGCUGGAAAUGCCAGCAGGGUCUUCUCUUUACUCUAACCGGCCUCUCGCCGUGGAGCCGAGGAGAGAAACUUCGGUAACCACGGUAACUUGACACCAGCACUGCAACCACGUUUCAGUCGGACUGAGACACCACACUGACUAACGGGGGCCAGGUUGUACCCUGCAGUUUCCAAUCAGUUUUCUGUAUUCAUUGCACUUAUUGUAAUCUUUCUAUUAAAUUGUAACUUCAGCUUAAAAUCUC